AAAUUAUACAGGCUAAUGGUUGAUCAGAUUUAUUUCUCAACUGUCAGACAUAUUCACAAAUGCGGGCAAGAUGUUAUUUGUUGAUAGUAAUACUGCCAGUGUUGGAGAGAAAUGCACAACUGUGCUGUUGAAUUUAAAAUUUAGGUCGGCCUAACUGCUUCCGCCGAGAUGCUUUUUAAACCUGAAAUUAAUUAGGAACUGUUCGAGGAGUUUGACAAGAGUGACUUCAUGGACUGGGAUUUCAAAGAAGUUCUCGAGCAGGUUAUUUCACGUAGCGCAAGGCAAGACAUUGACAAGCGUCAACGAGCAACAGUACCACUGCUAAUGAGACUCAGCACGCAACCUGCAUUGCCAUCUGAGUACCUAGCCUGCCUGCCUGGGCUGAGAGCAGGCUCUACACUUCCAUCCUCCUUUUCAUCCUCUGCUGGUCAUCCUACCGACUUCCCUGAGACCUGUGGCCUGCCUCAGCCAUCACACGCUGGCCAUGAGGAGGAAUGAGAGCCAGUUCCAGGGUGCCGACUCCUUCCUGAUGGUAUGCAAAUUGGCCGUGUCCCUGGUGGGAGUGUACCUGGCAAGCCUGGAAGUACUGAAUCAGUUUAUGUUUGUACAGUGACAUUAUGCUGCAAGAUUUUGUUCUUAUGAAUAUUGUCUGAUUAUUCUUCAUAAAAUUAAUAAAAAGUCUUCAUAAGUUCGAUCUUA